rnacentral:rRNA from 1 species
GACGAACGCUGGCGGCGUGCCUAAUACAUGCAAGUCGAACGGUCUUUUCUAUGGAAGUUUGCUUCCACUGAGAAGAUAGUGGCGAACGGGUGAGUAACACGUGGGUAACCUGCCCAUAAGAGGGGGAUAACAUCCGGAAACGGGUGCUAAUACCGCAUAGUUUUCUUGAUCGCAUGAUUGAGAAAGGAAAGACGGCCUUUGUGCUGUCGCUUAUGGAUGGACCCGCGGCGUAUUAGUUAGUUGGUGAGGUAACGGCUCACCAAGACGAUGAUACGUAGCCGACCUGAGAGGGUGAUCGGCCACAUUGGGACUGAGACACGGCCCGAACUCCUACGGGAGGCAGCAGUAGGGAAUCUUCCGCAAUGGACGAAAGUCUGACGGAGCAACGCCGCGUGAGUGAAGAAGGUUUUCGGAUCGUAAAACUCUGUUGUCAGAGAAGAACAAGUUGGAGAGUAACUGCUCCAGCCUUGACGGUAUCUGACCAGAAAGCCACGGCUAACU